rnacentral:rRNA from 1 species
UACGAAGGGUGCAAGCGUUAAUCGGAAUUACUGGGCGUAAAGGGUGCGUAGGCGGCCCGAGAGGUCCUGGGUGAAAGGCCCCGGCUCAACCGGGGAGGGCCCGAGGAAACCGGCGGGCCAGAGGGCUGGAGAGGGGCGCGGAAUUCCCGGUGUAGCGGUGAAAUGCGUAGAUAUCGGGAAGAACACCAGUGGCGAAGGCGGGGGCCUGGACAGAACCUGACGCUGAGGCACGAAAGCUGGGGGAGCGAACAGG